rnacentral:misc_RNA from 1 species
CAUUUUGCAAAUUGCAUCAAAUUAGGGAAGAAGGCUGAGAAGAACGAUGAAGGUGGCCCCAAAGAUAGUAUUCCUGUUCAAAGACUCAGAUGGAUUGGCUACCGCCAUCGCUGAUGCCCUCCACCCUACCACUGGCUCCUCUUUUCACAGAUUAGAAGACUCGUUCGAGCUAUCACUGGCCCGAUAUGGAAUCCAAGAUGUUAAAGCGAAAGGCAAUCUAAUUCAUUUUAUCGACAAUGAUAGCAAUUAUCAGGUGUCAGUUUUGCUCAUGGAUAAGUAUGAGCCGCCAAACUUGGUGUGUGCCUUAAGUGAAGUUUUGACCCAAAUAAUAGGGGAAGCAUCAGCAGGCCUACCAACGCUUAUAGUUCCAUUUAUUGGCACAUCUACGAAACUUAAAUGGGAGAGCAGAACCUCAACAAAGGAUGAUAGCAAAGUUUCAAUAUAUGGUGAGCAAAUAGGUCCAGAAACAGAUAUAACUCAGGCCAUUGCUAGUAGAACCCAAAAGCCACCAUCAUCAUUGCAGGUUCAUUAUGAGCCUUUAGCCUGCUUCCUUCAGUUAGUUAGUGUAUUAAAAUUGCCAACUUCAGUUCUU